CAGUCGCCACGGUAAUACAGAGGGUGCGAGCGUUAAUCGGAUUUACUGGGCGUAAAGCGUGCGUAGGCGGCUAAUUGAGUCGGAUGUGAAAUCCCCGAGCUUAACUUGGGAAUUGCAUUCGAUACUGGUUAGCUAGAGUGUGGGAGAGGAUGGUAGAAUUCCAGGUGUAGCGGUGAAAUGCGUAGAGAUCUGGAGGAAUACCGAUGGCGAAGGCAGCCAUCUGGCCUAAUACUGACGCUGAGGUACGAAAGCAUGGGGAGCAAACAGGAUUAGAUACCCCAGUAGUCCCUGUCUCUUAUAA
rnacentral:rRNA from 1 species